UGCAGUCGAACGGCAGCACAGAGGAGCUUGCUCCUUGGGUGGCGAGUGGCGGACGGGUGAGGAAUACAUCGGAAUCUACUCUGUCGUGGGGGAUAACGUAGGGAAACUUACGCUAAUACCGCAUACGACCUACGGGUGAAAGCAGGGGACCUUCGGGCCUUGCGCGAUUGAAUGAGCCGAUGUCGGAUUAGCUAGUUGGCGGGGUAAAGGCCCACCAAGGCGACGAUCCGUAGCUGGUCUGAGAGGAUGAUCAGCCACACUGGAACUGAGACACGGUCCAGACUCCUACGGGAGGCAGCAGUGGGGAAUAUUGGACAAUGGGCGCAAGCCUGAUCCAGCCAUACCGCGUGGGUGAAGAAGGCCUUCGGGUUGUAAAGCCCUUUUGUUGGGAAAGAAAUCCAGCUGGCUAAUACCCGGUUGGGAUGACGGUACCCAAAGAAUAAGCACCGGCUAACUUCGUGCCAGCAGCCGCGGUAAUAC
rnacentral:rRNA from 1 species